UGUAAAUUUAUUAUGAAAUGUUUCCUUCAAUAUACUAGUCCAAAGACCAUUUUUAACAUGUACACAUAGCAUAAAAUUUGCUAUCUGGUCGUUAGACCAAAACUGAAGAAGUGACUUUUUAUUGUUGUAAAAAAAAACAUCAAUACAAACUUAAUAAAUACCAAAUGUUUAAUCCACAAAUGUUUUGAAUAAAUAUUGUGGUCUUUCAACCAAAAAGAAUGUUGUCAAACGAUAUUGUAUUAUUCUGGUCUAAAGACCAAAUAUUCAUGUAUUUUCUUAUUCAUAUAGAAAAAACAACCAAACAAUUAAACCAAUCUAUAGGUUGUUUGAUACUCAUAAACUGGUCUUUAAACCAAAAAAAAAGAAAAGAAGAAGAAAAUGAUUCGGUAGAAUUUUUAGUAUUUACUAUUAAAAACAAAAGAUCAAUAUCAACGAAUAAAGGCCAGAUAAUAAAAAACACAAAACACAUCUAGGAUUCAC
rnacentral:lncRNA from 1 species